rnacentral:rRNA from 1 species
AUUGAACGCUGGCGGCAUGCCUUACACAUGCAAGUCGAACGGUAACAGGUCUUUCGGGAUGCUGACGAGUGGCGAACGGGUGAGUAAUACAUCGGAACGUGCCUAGUAGUGGGGGAUAACUACUCGAAAGAGUGGCUAAUACCGCAUGAGAUCUAUGGAUGAAAGCAGGGGACCUUCGGGCCUUGUGCUACUAGAGCGGCCGAUGGCAGAUUAGGUAGUUGGUGAGAUAAAAGCUUACCAAGCCUACGAUCUGUAGCUGGUCUGAGAGGACGAACAGCCACACUGGGACUGAGACACGGCCCAGACUCCUACGGGAGGCAGCAGUGGGGAAUUUUGGACAAUGGGCGCAAGCCUGAUCCAGCAAUGCCGCGUGCAGGAUGAAGGCCUUCGGGUUGUAAACUGCUUCUGUACGGAACGAAAAGUCUUGGGUUAAUACCCUGGGAUCAUGACGGUACCGUAAGAAUAAGCACCGGCUAACUACGUGCCAGCCGCCGCAGUAAUAC